AAGUCGAGGGGCAGCACGGGAGUAGCAAUACAACUGGUGGCGACCGGCGCACGGGUGAGUAACGCGUAUGCAACCUACCUAUCAGAGGGGAAUAACCCGGCGAAAGUCGGACUAAUACCGCAUAAAACAGGGGCACCGCAUGGUGAUAUUUGUUAAAGAAAUUCGCUGAUAGAUGGGCAUGCGUUCCAUUAGGUAGUUGGUGAGGUAACGGCUCACCAAGCCGACGAUGGAUAGGGGAACUGAGAGGUUGGUCCCCCACACUGGUACUGAGACACGGACCAGACUCCUACGGGAGGCAGCAGUGAGGAAUAUUGGUCAAUGGGCGGGAGCCUGAACCAGCCAAGUCGCGUGAAGGAAGAAGGAUCUAUGGUUCGUAAACUUCUUUUGCAGGGGAAUAAAGUGCAGGACGUGUCCUGUUUUGUAUGUACCCUGAGAAUAAGGAUCGGCUAACUCCGUGCCAGCAGCCGCGGUAAUACGGAGGAUCCGAGCGUUAUCCGGAUUUAUUGGGUUUAAAGGGUGCGUAGGUGGUUUGAUAAGUCAGCGGUGAAAGUUUGCAGCUUAACUGUAAAAAUGCCGUUGAAACUGUCGGACUUGAGUGUAAAUGAGGUAGGCGGAAUGCGUGGUGUAGCGGUGAAAUGCAUAGAUAUCACGCAGAACUCCGAUUGCGAAGGCAGCUUACUAAGCUACAACUGACACUGAAGCACGAAAGCGUGGGGAUCAAACAGGAUUAGAUACCCUGGUAGUCCACGCAGUAAACGAUGAUUACUAGCUGUUUGCGAUACACAGUAAGCGGCACAGCGAAAGCGUUAAGUAAUCCACCU
rnacentral:rRNA from 1 species